AAUAAUGACCAUACCACCCUGAAUGUGUUGAUCUCGUCUGAUCUCAGAAGCUAAGCAAGGUCGGACCUGGUUAAUAUGUGGUUGGGAGACACAGAAUUAUAUUCAAAAAUCAAUUCCAUUAGUU
rnacentral:rRNA from 1 species